rnacentral:lncRNA from 1 species
GGGCUAUUACAGACAUCCGAGGUCAUUAUUACUGACCGAGGACAUAUAACAGGGCCAUUAUAAAAACACCCAUUUCUUAAUACAUUUAUUAACCAACUGAACAAAAGUGUAUGUGUUGCUGCUAACUUGAUGUACUGUCUUACUCUUUUAAUGACAGUUUAGUUUGAACAAAAUGAUUUGUACUUCACCAUUAUUAAGCUUUGAAUAUACCAAAUAUCCAAGAUAUUAAGUUGAAAGAGAUAUGUGUUAAAAAACAGGAUGAACAGUGAUCCCUUUAUAUGGUUCUUUAAUGUUGGUUGCUGGUUACUAAAUUAAAUAAAAUACAAAAAGGUAUUAUACUCUUUACAACUUAGUUUUAUCAACUUUAUCAAAAACCCAAACAGGGUUUAAUACAGACAAACUGGGCAUUAAUACAGGGCCAUUACAGAAAAACAGGGCC